AUCGAAGUACAUUUAUAGGACAUGUACCGUUUUGAGAAGGCAUUGGUGGUGGGGUUGAGAUUUGAGAGCUCACCAUGGUGAAUGAAAGCAAAUAGAGACACAUGAGUAGUGCAACAUAAGUGGAUGCAACAUUUCCCUUGGAAGCCAUCUUACACAACUAAGUAGCUAGCACAAUAGUUAGUUUUGGGAUGCUUAGAUUGU
rnacentral:lncRNA from 1 species